rnacentral:rRNA from 1 species
UCGCCGAAAGCCCAAGGUUUCCUGCGCAACGUUCAUCGGCGCAGGGUGAGUCGGCCCUAAGGCGAGGCCGAAAGGCGUAGUCGAUGGGAAACGGUCAAUAUUCCCGUACCGAUCACGGAUGCGAUGGGGGGACGGAGAAGGUUAGCUCAGCCGGGUGUUGGACGUCCCGGUUUAAGCGUGUAGGCGUGCUGCAUAGGCAAAUCCGUGCGGCUUAGCCAAGGCGUGAUGACGAGGAGCCAUUGGCUCUGAAGUGAGUGAUACCCUGCUUCCAGGAAAAGCCUCUAAGCUUCAGUCCGUGAUUGACCGUACCGCAAACCGACACAGGUGGGCAGGAUGAAAAUUCUAAGGCGCUUGAGAGAACCCAGGAGAAGGAACUCGGCAAAUUGACACCGUAACUUCGGGAGAAGGUGUGCCCCGGUAGUGUGUAGUCCCUCGCGGGCGAAGCACGAUGGGGUCGCAGAGAAUAGGUGGCUGCGAC